rnacentral:rRNA from 1 species
CCUACGGGAGGCAGCAGUGGGGAAUAUUGCACAAUGGGGGAAACCCUGAUGCAGCGACGCCGCGUGAGUGAAGACGUAUUUCGGUAUGUAAAGCUCUAUCAGUAGGGAAGAAGAUAGACGGUACCUUACCAAGAAGCCCCGGCUAACUACGUGCCAGCAGCCGCGGUAAUACGUAGGGGGCAAGCGUUAUCCGGAUUUACUGGGUGUAAAGGGAGCGUAGACGGCUGUGCAAGUCUGAAGUGAAAGCCCAGGGUUCAACCCUGGGACUGCUUUGGAAACUGUGGAGCUAGAGUGCUGGAGAGGUAAGUGGAAUUCCUGGUGUAGCGGUGAAAUGCAUAGAUAUUAGGAGGAACACCAGUGGCGAAGGCGGCUUACUGGACAGUAACUGACGUUGAGGCUCGAAAGCGUGGGGAGCAAACAGGAUUAGAUACCCGUGUAGUC